rnacentral:rRNA from 1 species
AUACGUAGGUGGCAAGCGUUAUCCGGAAUUAUUGGGCGUAAAGGGUGCGCAGGCGGCAAUUUAAGUCCGUGGUAAAAGACUGAAGCUCAACUUCAGGUGGCCAUGGAAACUGGGUUGCUAGAGUGCAGGAGAGGGUAGUGGAAUUCCAUGUGUAGCGGUAAAAUGCGUAGAUAUAUGGAGGAACACCAGUGGCGAAAGCGGCUCCCUGGCCGGUAACUGACGCUCAUGCACGAAAGCGUGGGGAGAAAAUAGGAUUAGAUACCCUAGUAGUCCACGCCGUAAACGAUGAGAACUAAGUGUUGGGGAAACUCAGUGCUGCAGUUAACGCAAUAAGUUCUCCGCCUGGGGAGUAUGCACGCAAGUGUGAAACUCAAAUGAAUUGGCGGG